AUGUCGCAGGUGCCCCCCUGGAAGCUGGCGCUGCUGGAGCGGCGCCGCCGGGAGGACGAGGCCGCGCGGCGCCGGGAGCGGGAGCAGCGCGAGCGCCAGGCCCAGGUGCCCCCCUGGAAACGGGAGCUGCUGCAGCGGCGCCGCGCCCGGGCGGGGCCCGCGGGCACACCUGGCCAGGGGGGCACACCUGGGGGCACACCUGGGCAAGGGGGAACACCUGGGGGCACACCUGGGCAAGGGGGCACAGCUGGGCUGGAGACUCUGGGGGGCACACCUGGAUCAGGGGUUAUACCUGGAUCGGGUGUUAUACCUGGCACAGGUAGCACACCUGGAUCAGGGGUUACACCUUGCACAGGGGGCACACCUGGCACAGGUGGCACACCUGGCACAGGUGGCACACCUGGAUCAGGGGGCACACCUGGAUCAGGGGUUAUACCUGGAUCGGGUGUUAUACCUGGCACAGGUGGCACACCUGGCACAGGGGUUACACCUGGAUCAGGGGGCACACCUGGAUCAGGGGUUACACCUGGCACAGGGGGCACACCUGGCACAGGGGGCACACCUGGGCAGGAAGGUUUAGGGGGCUCCCACCUGGUGCUGGCGCCAGGGAUGGAGAAAUGCGGCCCUGCCGAAAAUCCCACCUGGGACCCCCAAAACCCUCCCCAAAAUCAUCCCCAGGACUUCCAAAGUCAGCCCCAAAAUCCUUCCCAGGAUUUCCAAAAUUGUUCCCAAAAUCAUCCCCAAAAUCCCACCUGGGAUCCCCAAAAUCCUUCCCAGGAUCCCCAAAAUUCCUCCUGGGACCCCCAAAAUUCCCCAAAUCCCCAAAAUCCGCCCCGGGGCCGGGUCAGUCACCUGCGGAGCCGCUUUGUCCCCGAGCCGGGAGGGGACGAGGGGCGUGGCGGGGUCACCGUGGGGCCACCUGGGGGUCAAGGGUCAGCCAGGGACAUAGGAACGGUCAAGGGGUGUGGGGCGGUCAGUGUGGGGUCACCUGAGGGUCAAGGGUCAGCCAGGGACAUAGGAACGGUCAAAGGUCAUGGAGUGACCACUGGCCUGGGGACAGCGGAUGGACAAGGGACGGUCAAGGGGAUGGUCAAGAACUGGACAGCGGUGGAGGGCCGGAGAGGUCAGGGGUCAGUGGGGACACCGGGGACAGUGUCCGGCCAAGUGACCCCUUUGGUGACCACGCUGACCACUGCCCCUGUGACGUCAGCGGUGUCGCCAGAGGGGGGCGCUGUCCCUUUGUCCGGCGACACUGUCCAGCUGUCCAGUGGCUCUGUCCCCAAGCCCGGGGUCACUGUCCCCAAGUCCAGUGCCACUGUCCAGCUGUCCAGCAGUGUCCCCAUGUCCAGUGACUCUGUCCCCAUGUCCAGCGGUGUCCCCACGUGUGGCGCCACCACCCCAGUGUCCAGUGCCACCACCCCAGUGUCCGGUGCCACUGUCCAGGUGUCCAGUACCACUGUCCAGGUGUCCGGUGCCACUGUCCAGGUGUCCGCCCCUGUCCCCUCGGCCGUCCGGCCGGUGUCACCGCGCCGUGACCCCCGGUGUCCCCCCCCGUGUCCCCACCCCGCCCUGCAGCGCCGCAGCGGCAACACCAUCACGGUGCGGCCGCGCCGCGCCACCGGUGACCCCGCAGGUGACCCCGCAGGUGGGGCAGGUGUCCCCUCAGGUGUCCCCACCGGUGGCCCUGGGUGUGGCCCUGGGUGUGGCCCCGGGGGCGUGGCCGAGCCCCCCAAGAAGCGCUACCCCACGGCCGAGCAGAUCCAGGUGAUCGGGGGGUACCUGGCGCUGCCCCGCUCCUGCCUGGCCAAGGGAGAGCCCCGGCGCAAGAA
ensembl:lncRNA